GGCCUCGUAGCUCAGCUGGUAGAGCGUGCGCUGUACAAAGUUGUGGGCUGCGUCCAUGCGUGAGUUCGAAUCCCACCAAAGCUA
rnacentral:tRNA from 1 species